AAUGUGAAUUGCAGAAUUCAGUGAAUCAUCGAAUCUUUGAACGCACCUUGCCGCCCCUUGGUAUUCCGAGGGGCACACCCGUUUGAGUGUCGUGAAAAUCUCAACCUCCUUGGUUUCUUCUAGAGACCGAUGGGGGCUUGGACAUUGGAGGCCUUUGCUGGUGUCUCUCUUGAAGGCCCAGCUCCUCUUAAAUGAAUUAGCAGGGUCCUCUUUGCCGAUCCUCGACAUGUGAUAAGAUGUUUCCGUGUCUUGGUCUCUGGCUCUGUUGCUUUUGGGACCCGCUUCUAAUCGUCUCAACCUUGCAUCGAGACAAACGUCUGAGCGUGGCUCCCUUACCUGGGAAACUCUCUCGACCUCAUGAACCCUUGACCUCAAAUCGGGUGAGACUACCCGCUGAACUUAAGCAUAUCAAUAAGCGGAGGAAA
rnacentral:sRNA from 1 species